UAUUGGCACCCUUUCAAAGUUGUGGGUAAAUCGUUUUAUUUCAAGCAUAUGAUGCUUGUUUGAACUCACCUGUGGCAAGAAACAGGUGCUGGCAAUAUAGCAAUCACACCUGAAGCCAGUUAAAAUGGAGAAAAGUUGACUCAACCUUUCUGUUGUGUGUCUGAGUAGAAAUGUCUGAGGACUUGAGAACAAAAAUUGUGGAAAAAUAUCAACAAUCUCAAGGCUACAAGUCCAUCUCCAGAGAUCUUCAUGUUCCUUUGUCCACUGUGCGCAACAUAAUCAAGAAGUUCACAACACAUGACACUGUAGCUAAUCUCCCUGGACGUGGACGGAAGAGAAAAAUUGAUAAAA